rnacentral:ncRNA from 1 species
GUAAAGGCCGUCAGAGGUAACAUCAGCGUCACUGCAUACACUGCUGCCAGCAUGCAUGGAUGUAAUUUUCUUAUUAACAUAGCGAUCUCCUCGGAUGCGGGCCAUAAAAUAAGCCAUCUUCUUUUUUGUUUUUAUAAUAUUGAAAUGCAAUUUAAGUGCCAGAGGCAAAGGUGAUUACUUUAUUAUUGCGAUAAGCGGAAUAGCAUCCGCUCGAUUUUUUCUUUGUUAAAGUAAUACAUACAACACCUUAAACCGAUGACAACCAAGCUAAAGGAGGGAUUGCUUUUCCCCUUCGUCUUAUUUCGAAGUAUAGACCGUUUUGUUUAAUUCCGCCGCUAUGUCCU